rnacentral:lncRNA from 1 species
CCUUUCCCGCGCGACCGGCGAGGGAGGAAGAAGCGCGAAGAGCCGUUAGUCAUGCCGGUGUGGUGGCGGCGGCGGAGACUGCGGGCCCGUAGCUGGGCUCUGCGAGGAUGAAAAUGAGCAUUUUACUUGAUGUUGAUAACAUCACAAUAAAUUAUGGAGAAAAAUACAUAUUUGGCUAACUUUUAAUUGCUGAACAAUAAAGUGUUUUCUUUUAAAUCAACUCU